GCCUGACUGGCUCAGUCAGUACAGCAUGUGACUCUUGAUCUCGGAGUCAUGAGUUCAAGCCCCAUGUUGGGUA
rnacentral:tRNA from 1 species